CUUCAAACUCCCCACCAGUCAAACCUCCUCUACCUUCUCUCCACCUGUCAAACCCUAAAUCCAAACCCAUCAUCUCCACCACCCAUUCUUCUUCCUCUUCCUUCUUCUCUCCACCCGUCAAAUCCUAAAUCCAAACCCAGCAUCUCCACACCCAUCCUUCUUCUUCCUCCUCAUUCUCUUUCAAUAGCACCACCCUAAAUCCAAACCCAGCAUUGCAACCAACAUAGCUCUUGAAAUUGUUAUGUGGGUUGUUCGCAGAUUGGUCGUACCAUUUAAACGAAUCGUUUUGGUCUGUCCCGGAUUCUCUGUAACCUGUAAAACCCGACAUGAUUAUGCUUGAGUCUUCGACGUAGCUGCUGAAUUCGGUAUGGUUGGCGCUGUCAAUUUUUCCGUAGUUGACGAACUUUUUAGGCAUGGCUUCUUCAGCAACGAUCUAGGUUUCGAGGGGUUAGGGUUUCAGAAGGAAGAGGCUGAGGGCAUGGAUGGUUUCAGAUCUGGGGUGCGAUGGGUUGGAGAACGGGGAAAGUUGGAAGCAGUGGUUGUGAGAUGAUCUGGGUUGUUUGCAGGCAGUGGUUGUGAGGUGGUUUAGGUUGUUUGCAGGCAGCGGUUGUGAGGUGGUCAGGGUUGUUUGCACGUCGCCUGUGAGGUGGUCUGAGUUGUUUACUGGUGAUGAUUGUGAGGUGGUCUAGGUUGAAAGAGAGGAGAGGGUUUAGUGCUGGGGUUUGUGACGACCUGG
rnacentral:lncRNA from 1 species